UGUCCCUAUGUCUGUUCACCCAUUGACUGCCAGGGUUGAUGCAGCUGAUCUGGCUGGCUAGGCAGGUGUCCCCUUCCUUCCUUAUCAUUCCAUUGUGUCAAACUGCCCUGCCCCAAACUGCUUCUCUAGGUAGAAGAGGACAACCUUCCCAGAAGAGAGGAGGACCAGUUUUCAGUCAAGAGUAUACAAGUAGCUGCACUCCACUGAUAGAACCUCCAAGUAGAAUUCAUUUUAAACUUCUUUUACACGUACUACAAUUUAGAAUACUUAAAU
rnacentral:snRNA from 1 species